UACGUAGGGUGCGAGCGUUGUCCGGAAUUAUUGGGCGUAAAGAGCUUGUAGGCGGUUUGUCGCGUCUGCCGUGAAAAUUCGAGGCUCAACCUCGAACUUGCGGUGGGUACGGGCAGACUAGAGUGUGGUAGGGGAGACUGGAAUUCCUGGUGUAGCGGUGAAAUGCGCAGAUAUCAGGAGGAACACCGAUGGCGAAGGCAGGUCUCUGGGCCACUACUGACGCUGAGAAGCGAAAGCAUGGGGAGCGAACCGG
rnacentral:rRNA from 1 species